rnacentral:lncRNA from 1 species
ACCCUGUGAACAGCAGCAGAGCAUGGCAAGAAAAAGACCAGAGAGCUUCCGCUCUGCUGUCCACGGGGUCACUGGGACUUGGAAUUGCCUCCACAGCACUAACAACAACAAAAACUCUUAGAAAAUAGUUGCAAAAACUGAAACACUGCGCUGUGAGUUUCCUUGCCAUUCACAGCCAAAAUUCCUUACUUUUUUUGCAUAACCACAUCUCUGUCUGAUCUAAGCAAUAUUAAGAAACAAUAACAAACAAACAAAACACAAAACCAAAACAACCAGCACCAAGUCACUCCACAGCUGUCCCCUGUGACCACACGCAUGCCAAGCAUAGUUGGUGGGGCCGGUCUGGCCACCACGGAGAGAGAGAAGUCCUGAUGAGAUCCAGCGAAGGAAACCCGAGACGGCUCUAGGGGGAGACCGAGGCAGCCAGGAGGAGCAGGGGUGCCCGUGUGAGGCCCAUGUGCACAGCUGCAGCGCCGGACACACAACGCUGCCCACACAUCUGCAGGUGGGUAAAGGGGCUCAGGAGCGCACCAGACACAGGAACCACAGGAACAGAGGCGAGUUCAGGGUCCCACCUGGUGGAGCCUCCUGUCAAUCCUACCACAUGGAGGGAGUGGCUCUGCUGGCUCCUCGGAGGCCCUCCUCAGCACCCUGUGGCUCUGCUGAGGGCCAACUCCUCCUCCUUGCACUGCCCGUGUUCAUGGUCGAUGCCCCCAGGAGGCAGGCUGCAGGUGGCAGUGGGUGCCAUGUUGCUCUAACUGCUCAUCCUGCUGACCUCUGUGUGGACAUCUGUGCAGUUCUCCGCAGAGCCCACCAGGGUGAGACGAGCACGCAGGAGCUAGGAGCUGCCAUUGCUGCUGACGCAGCCAGGACUUUCUGGGGCCCACCUGGCUGGGGGCCACAGUCUCCCAUGUACAGGUAUGUCCACUCACUCUUCCAGCCAGUGGCCUGCCUGGAUGCAAGCCAUUUGGACCCUCAGCUCCAGAGGAGGCGCGUCCAGCGGAGUUGUGGGCUGCAUUUGGUGGAUUCACCAAAGCCCAGCACUCUAGACCAUUCUGAGUAUCCUGGACCAUGCAGAAGGUUUCUCCCGACCCUCCAGCCAGCCAUCCAGACCUCAAAACUGACCUGAACUCAGACUGUGUCUGGCUUGCAGGCUCUGCGUUUUCCUACCCACUCAAAGCACAGCACUUUCCAUGACAACAUGGACUUGUGUGGCUUUGCAGAGGGACGAAGGGAAGCUCAACUAAGUAUCAACUCCUGGCCAGGUGGGUCGCCUUCUCGGCCCUCCCCUGGUAACCAGCAAAGUUAGCUCAGCUGGCUUUGUGGAGGAGAAGAACCCCUGCCAGAAAAGCAGCGCCCCAUCCCCCUGCAUACACACUCUAAUCCCUCCAGUGAGGGCGUGCUGGAGUGCUGCCCCACGCCCCGCACACCAGGCAGCGAGAUUUCCAGUGUGCAGUCCAGGGAACACGACGUCUCGCGGAUGCUCUGACAUCAGUUCCACCAAACAUCAGGGAAAUGCACAAGCGAAUUCCUCCAGGAAGAGGAGGAGAGGUGGGCUGUCCCAGUGCAGCAAAGCUGGGCUUGCUCAGGGGGCCUCGCUGUCCAGCCUGGCUGGGGAAUUGUCCUUGGGAUGGG